AGAAAUUUAAAGGUGAAAACUGGAAAAGAUGGAAAUGGAGAAGGGGAUCUCAGGAGAUAAGUGGAGUCAAGGGUUCACAGAAACAAAGCAAGAGUCUUUUACAGGGCUGUAACACUUCAGUGGGCAAACUCAUGAAGCAGUCCCUUCAUUUAUGUGAAUACUAAAUGAACUUGCACAGAGCUGAAGAAAACAUAUCAAGAAUUUU